rnacentral:rRNA from 1 species
AACGUAGGACGCAAGCGUUAUCCGGAGUUACUGGGCGUAAAGCGCGGGCAGGCGGUCUUGCCAGUCUGAUGUGAAAUCUCCUCGCUCAACGGGGAGCAGCCAUUGGAAACUACAAGACUGGAGUCUGGCAGGGGUAGGCGGAAUUCCGGGUGGAGUGGUGAAAUGCGUAGAGAUCCGGAGGAACACCAGAGGCGAAGGCGGCCUACUGGGCCAGUACUGACGCUGAGCCGCGAAAGCGUGGGUAGCAAACAGG